CCAUGUCUCGCCUCUGGCAACUCGUUUCUUUUCCUUUUUUGAAGUCUGGCAUUGUUGUGGCAUUUGCAUUUUUUCAAGCAUUCUUUGGGCGCCGUAAGGACAAAGAACAUCGAUGGUCGUCAUUCCAUAUAUCACAAAUUACAUCCUGGAUCCUGGAUCCUGGAUCCUGGAUUCCGACAGUAGAGGACCGACCGGACAUGAAAGGCUUGAAAGUUGUCUGGGAAUGGGAUCGGGGCAAAAACUGAUUCGGAGUCUCUGGCUAUGAAGUGGACUCGACUGGCAGACGGAAAUUGAAGUGUUUCUAAUGU